rnacentral:rRNA from 1 species
CCUACGGGCGGCAGCAGUGAGGAAUAUUGGUCAAUGGGCGCAAGCCUGAACCAGCCAAGUCGCGUGAGGGAUGACGGCCCUAUGGGUUGUAAACCUCUUUUGUCAGGGAGCAAAGGCCGCCACGUGUAGCGGUUUGCGAGUAACUUAAGAAAAAGCAUCGGCUAACUCCGUGCCAGCAGCCGCGGUAAUACGGAGGAUGCGAGCGUUAUCCGGAUUUAUUGGGUUUAAAGGGUGCGCAGGCGGAAUGUCAAGUCAGCGGUAAAAUUGCGGGGCUCAACCCCGCCGUGCCGUUGAAACUGGCGUUCUUGAGUGAGCGAGAAGUAUGCGGAAUGCGUGGUGUAGCGGUGAAAUGCAUAGAUAUCACGCAGAACUCCGAUUGCGAAGGCAGCAUACCGGCGCUCAACUGACGCUGAUGCACGAAAGCGUGGGUAUCGAACAGGAUUAGAUACCCGAGUAGUC